UACAGAGGUCUCAAGCGUUGUUCGGAUUCAUUGGGCGUAAAGGGUGCGUAGGUGGCGUGGUAAGUCGGGUGUGAAAUUUCGGAGCUCAACUCCGAAACUGCAUUCGAUACUGCCGUGCUUGAGGACUGGAGAGGAGACUGGAAUUUACGGUGUAGCAGUGAAAAUGCGUAGAGAUCGUAAGGAAGACCAGUGGCGAAGGCGGGUCUCGUGGACAGUUCCUGACACUGAGGCACGAAGGCUAGGGGAGCAAACGGG
rnacentral:rRNA from 1 species